rnacentral:rRNA from 1 species
CGUCUAUAUACGUAUAGCAUAUCAAUAAGCGGAGGAAAAGAAACUAACUAGGAUUCCCUCAGUAACGGCGAGUGAAGCGGGAAGAGCUCAAAUUUGAAAUCUUCAAGGUUCUACCUUGACGAAUUGUAGUUUAAAGAAGUGUUUUCUGUUGGAGUUUUGGUAAAAGUUCUUUGGAAUAGGACAUCAUAGAGGGUGAGAAUCCCGUAUUUGACCAUUAUUUCCAACUUUGUGAUACACUUUCAAAGAGUCGGAUUGUUUGGGAAUGCAGUCCAAAAUGGGUGGUAAAUUUCAUCUAAAGCUAAAUACUGGCGAGAGACCGAUAGCGAACAAGUACCGUGAGGGAAAGAUGAAAAGAACUUUGAAAAGAGAGUUAAACAGUACGUGAAAUUGUCAAAAGGGAAGCGUUUGACACCAGUGUUGUUUUCUCGAAAAUCAAUUAAAAAUGGCGGGAUUUUGUGUUGUAUUGACUUUAUCAGCUUUCUGCACUUUUUUCCUGUCUUUUUUAAUGCACUUUUCGUUUAACAAGUCAACAUCAAUUUCUUUUGUUGUAAAAGAGUCAUUGGAAGGUGGCUUUCUUUUCGGAGAAAGUGUUUAUAGCCUUUGACUUCUGCAAUCGGAGAGAUUGAGGUCUGCAGCGUAGAUCCUUCGGGGUUAGAUGCAUUUGUGCUAAGCUAUAGCCUUUCAUAGACAACUUGUUGACUAUGAUCAGUCAUGUAGCUUACUCGCUUAUGCUAUUUUACCUACGCUUAGGAUGUUGACGAUCAGCUGAGCGCG